CUGAGGACUUAAAUGGUGAUGGAUAGAAUGAGAAAAGAAAGAUGAGAUGAAAUGGUAGGAAAUGUGCCAGCCCUUCAGCGUGAGAUUCUUUAGUCAAAGAAUCCAGUUGUAGACUUCCAAAUUUUUUGCUGGAGCAAGUGUGGUGUUUCCUUUGUCAGUGGUGGUGGUGGCCUUUUUGUCAUUUGCCAUUGAUUCAAGAGGGCUUCAAACAGGAGGGUUAUGGCAGGGGGGGGGGAGAAGAACAUUUUGCUUCUGCCUCUU
rnacentral:misc_RNA from 1 species